rnacentral:rRNA from 1 species
GAGAGUUUGAUCAUGGCUCAGGACGAACGCUGGCGGCGUGCUUAACACAUGCAAGUCGAACGGGAUGAUUUAGAAGCUUGCUUUUAGAGAAUCCAGUGGCAAACGGGUGAGUAACACGUAGACAACCUGCCGACAGGAUGGGGACAACAUUCCGAAAGGAAUGCUAAUACCGAAUGAAGUCAGAGAAGGGCAUCCUUUUCUGAUGAAAGAUGGCCUCUAUUUAUAAGCUAUCACCUGUCGAUGGGUCUGCGUCUGAUUAGCUGGUUGGUGAGGUAACGGCUCACCAAGGCGACGAUCAGUAGCCGGUCUGAGAGGAUGAACGGCCACAUUGGGACUGAGACACGGCCCAGACUCCUACGGGAGGCAGCAGUGGGGAAUCUUCCGCAAUGGGCGCAAGCCUGACGGAGCAACGCCGCGUGAGUGAAGAAGGUCUUCGGAUCGUAAAGCUCUGUUGAUGGGGACGAACGUGCGAAGGGUGAAUAAUCCUUUGUAAUGACGGUACCUGUCGAGGAAGCCACGGCUAACUACGUGCCAGCAGCCGCGGUAAUACAUAGGUGGCGAGCGUUGUCCGGAAUCAUUGGGCGUAAAGGGAGCGCAGGCGGGCAUAUAAGUCUUUCUUAAAAGUGCGGGGCUCGACCCCGUGAUGGGAAAGAAACUAUAUGUCUUGAGUACAGGAGAGGAAAGCGGAAUUCCCAGUGUAGCGGUGAAAUGCGUAGAUAUUGGGAGGAACACCAGUGGCGAAAGCGGCUUUCUGGACUGCAACUGACGCUGAGGCUCGAAAGCCAGGGGAGCGAACGGGAUUAGAUACCCCGGUAGUCCUGGCCGUAAACGAUGGAUAUUAGAGUGUGGGAGGUAUCGACCCCUACCGUGCCGGAUUAACGCAAUAAGUAUCCCGCCCGGGGAGUACGGUCGCAGAAUGAAUUGAAACUCAAAGGAACAAGCGGGGACCCGCACAAGCGAAUGAGUAUCAGGUUUAAUUAGAAGCAACAGCGAAGAACCUUACCAGGCCUUGACAGAGAUAGAAGUUACUAGUGAUAAUCAUGAUUCUUCGGAAACAGGAAAACAGGUGGUGCAUGGCUGUCGUCAGCUGGUGUCGUGAGAUGUUGGGUUAACUCCCCCAACGAGCGCAACCCCUGUUAAGGUUGCCAUCACGUAAAGGUGGGCACUCAAAGGAGACUGAAGGGAGAACGCGGAGGAAGGCGGGGAUGACGUCAAGUCAUCAUGCCCCUUAUGGUUACAAUUACACAACAGAGCAAUGGGACGGACAGAGAGCAGCGAACCCGCGAGGGCGAGCGAACCUCAAAAACCGUUUCUCAGUUCGGAGGCAGGAUGCAACUCGCGUGCAUGAAGUCGGAUCAGCAAGUAAUCGCAGGUCAGCAUAUUGCGUUGAAUACGUUCCCGGGUUCACACACACCGCCCGUCACACCACGGAAGUCGUUCACACCCGAAGCCGAGGCAGCUGUCUAAGGUGUGGAAGGUGACUGGGGUGAAGUCGUAACAAGAUAUCCGUAUGGGAAGGUGCGGCUGGAUCACCUCUU